UUUUUAUGAGAGUUUGAUCCUGGCUCAGGACGAACGCUGGCGGCGUGCCUAAUACAUGCAAGUCGUACGCUUCUUUUUCCACCGGAGCUUGCUCCACCGGAAAAAGAGGAGUGGCGAACGGGUGAGUA
rnacentral:rRNA from 1 species